GGAGUUUGGGGUGGUGGGCUUACCUGAGCGCGGGCGUGGGAACCCGUUCCUGAGGUCGCCCCUCGGCCCCUGGGGUGUGGGCAGGACCGGGUCCUGGGAGCGCAGCCUGGGCCUCUCCUUCCCGGGCAAGGCAGCUGGGCCUUGGAGGGGGCACCCGCCCUGCCCGCCCCCCACCUCUCACCCUCCACUCAGGUCUCCGCCCCCCAGCCUGGGGUGGCAGGGGGUGAACUUGUGCUGUGCUGGCAUUGUCUGGAGAUCUACACCCACGUGGCUCUUUGUGGAGGGUCCCCGGUGCCCCCAAGUUUCUACAAGUUCCGGUCAAACUGAGCACAGCUGAGCCCCGAGGCCCCCGCUGAGCGUGACACCCAGGGGCAGGGGUGGUGGGGGGCAGGGCUGGUCCUUCCCCCUCAGGCUCACUCCCCAUUUCUUGGGGGGCGGUGGGAGGGUGUGUUCUGAGUGUCUCCUUCAUAAAGUUGGGGAGUCCCCUGGAGGAAGGGGCCACAGAGGGGAAGGAUGUGAGGAUGGGGUCCUGCAGAUUGUCUUGGUCUGAAGGUGGGAGGUGUUGGCUGCACAGAGCCAAGGGUCCUGUAAUGUGUGCACAC